UACGGGGGGGGCAAGCGUUGUUCGGAAUUACUGGGCGUAAAGGGCUCGUAGGCGGCUAACUAAGUCAGACGUGAAAUCCCCAGGCUUAACCUGGGAACUGCGUCUGAUACUGGAUGGCUUGAAUUCGGGAGAGGGAUGCAGAAUUCCAGGUGUAGCGGUGAAAUGCGUAGAUAUCUGGAGGAAUACCGGUGGCGAAGGCGGCAUCCUGGACCGACAUUGACGCUGAGGAGCGAAAGCUAGGGGAGCAAACGGG
rnacentral:rRNA from 1 species